UACGGAGGAUGCGAGCGUUAUCCGGAUUUAUUGGGUUUAAAGGGUGCGUAGGCGGGCUUUUAAGUCAGCGGUAAAAAUUCGGGGCUCAACCUCGUCCGGCCGUUGAAACUGGGGGCCUUGAGUGGGCGAGAAGAAGGCGGAAUGCGUGGUGUAGCGGUGAAAUGCAUAGAUAUCACGCAGAACCCCGAUUGCGAAGGCAGCCUUCCGGCGCCCUACUGACGCUGAGGCACGAAAGUGCGGGGAUCGAACAGG
rnacentral:rRNA from 1 species